rnacentral:tRNA from 1 species
GGUCCAAUAGUGUAGAGGUUAUCACAUAGGAUUCUGAUAUGCACUAUAUGUAUGUCGAAUCAUAUUCCUAUGACCCAGGUUCGAGUCCUGGUUGGACCU